rnacentral:rRNA from 1 species
UACGUAGGGCGCAAGCGUUGUCCGGAAUUAUUGGGCGUAAAGAGCUCGUAGGCGGUCUGUUGCGUCCGCUGUGAAAACCCAGGGCUUAACCCUGGGCUUGCAGUGGAUACGGGCAGGCUAGAGGUAGGUAGGGGAGAAUGGAAUUCCCGGUGUAGCGGUGAAAUGCGCAGAUAUCGGGAGGAACACCGGUGGCGAAGGCGGUUCUCUGGGCCUUACCUGACGCUGAGGAGCGAAAGUGUGGGGAGCGAACAGG